AGAGUUUGAUCCUGGCUCAGGACAAACGCUGGCGGCGUGCUUAACACAUGCAAGUCGAACGGUCCACCUUCGGGUGGAUAGUGGCGGACGGGUGAGUAACACGUAGAUAACCUGCCCUGUAGUGGGGAAUAACUCCUCGAAAGAGGAGCUAAUACCGCAUAAGCUCUGCUGCGUUAGCAGCAAAGGAAACGCGCAAGCGGCUAUAGGAGGGGUCUGCGGCGGAUUAGCUAGUUGGCGGGGUAACGGCCCACCAAGGCGAUGAUCCGUAGCUGGUCUGAGAGGACGGCCAGCCACACUGGGACUGAGACACGGCCCAGACUCCUACGGGAGGCAGCAGUGAGGAAUAUUCCCCAAUGGGCGAAAGCCUGAGGGAGCGACGCCGCGUGAGGGACGAAGCCCUUUGGGGUGUAAACCUCUUUUCUUCGGGAUGACACGCCCCUUCGGGGGCUACGACAGUACCGAAGGAAUAAGCAUCGGCUAACUACGUGCCAGCAGCCGCGGUAAUACGUAGGAUGCAAGCGUUGUCCGGAUUUACUGGGCGUAAAGCGCGCGCAGGCGGCAGCCUAAGUAAGGUGUGAAAUCUCCCUGCUUAACGGGGAGGGUGCACUUUAGACUGGGCAGCUAGAGGACGGUAGAGGGGGGUGGAAUUGCUGGUGUAGCGGUGAAAUGCGUAGAGAUCAGCAGGAACACCCGUGGCGAAGGCGGCCCCCUGGGCCGUACCUGACGCUGAGGCGCGAAGGCUAGGGGAGCGAACGGGAUUAGAUACCCCCGUAGUCC
rnacentral:rRNA from 1 species